rnacentral:lncRNA from 1 species
GCCAUUGUUUUGAUUUCAACUAGUGUGGUUUCUGCUGCUGCAGAUAGUUAUAUUUACUCUUCUCCUCCACCACCUUACGAGUAUAAGUCGCCACCGCCACCAUCACCUUCACCACCACCUCCUUAUGUUUACAAAUCGCCACCUCCUCCAUCCCCAUCACCUCCACCACCUUAUGAGCACAAGGCUCCUGCUUAUGAGUACAAGUCACCACCACCACCAACUCCUUCACCACCACCUCCUUAUGUGUACAAGUCACCACCACCGCCAUCUCCUUCACCACCACCUCCUUAUGUGUACAAGUCACCACCACCACCCUCACCUUCCCCACCACCACCAUACUACUACAAGAGUCCUCCACCACCUUCUCCUUCACCUCCACCUCCUUACUACUACAAAUCUCCUCCACCACCCUCACCUUCCCCACCACCACCAUACUAUUACAAGUCUCCUCCACCACCAUCUCCCUCACCUCCACCACCAUAUUACUACAAGUCUCCCCCACCACCCUCACCCUCCCCUCCACCCCCAUAUAUACACAAGGAUCCACCAUACUAUUACAAGUCCCCACCACCACCUUCACCAUCUCCUCCACCACCAUACUACUACAAAUCUCCCCCACCCCCUUCACCGUCUCCUCCACCACCAUACUACUACAAAUCUCCUCCUCCUCCAUCUCCUAUUCCCAAAACACCUUACUACUACAAAUCUCCCCCACCCCCUUCACCAUCUCCUCCACCACCAUACUACUACAAAUCUCCCCCACCCCCUUCACCGUCUCCUCCACCACCAUACUACUAUAAAUCUCCCCCACCACCGUCACCCUCUCCACCACCACCUUACUAUUACAAGUCUCCUCCCCCACCUUCACCAUCUCCUCCACCACCAUACUACUACAAAUCUCCUCCUCCUCCAUCUCCUAUUCCCCAUACACCUUACUAUUACAAAUCUCCCCCACCACCUUCACCAUCUCCUCCACCACCAUACUACUACAAAUCUCCUCCUCCUCCAUCUCCUAUUCCCCGUACACCUUACUAUUACAAAUCUCCCCCACCACCUUCACCAUCUCCUCCACCACCAUACUACUACAAAUCCCCUCCUCAUCCAUCUCCCAUUCCCCAUACACCUUACUAUUACACAUCUCCCCCACCACCUUCACCGUCUCCUCCACCACCAUAUUACUACAAAUCUCCUCCCCCUCCGUCUCCUAUUCCCCACACACCUUACUACUACAAGUCCCCACCACCACCAAAGGUCCUUCCACCACCAUACUAUUACAAUUCUCCUCCUCCACCUGUUGUGUAUCCUCACCCAUAUCCCUACCACCACUCACUUAUUGUGAGGGUAGUCGGUAAAGUCUACAGCUUCAGAUGUUAUGAUUGGAAUUAUCCUGCAAAGUCUCAUAACAAGAAACAUCUCAAAGGUACAUUACAUUUCUUAGGACCGGACCUCUUUAGAGUAAUGUGUUUAGAGAUAAUGCACAAUUUUUUAUUUUUUUAUCUCGUAAAGGUUUAUUUAUUAUAAUCACAAUUUCACUUUUGUCAAAAAGAAAAACAAUUUUACUAUAUAUAGUUUUAAUCAUUAACAUUUUGAUGUAAAAAGAAUACAAUUCUCUAUUACCUUUUUACUAUGAUAUAUAUACAAAGAUUAUUCAAAUCUAUAUAUCCAACCUAAUUUCCAUCCAAAAAAAUAGAAAACAUAGGGUGCUUUGAACGCCUGCAGCAUCACAUGAAUAAAUAAAAACAAUCAAUAAUCAACCUUGUUCUAAUUUAUUUUAGACAGCGAUUGUUAAGCAUACUGCUCUUUUAAUUACAUUUUUUUUAAAGAUGCUCUUUUAAUUAUAUUGUCCUAAUAUAAUAUGUGUCUUUAUAUAUUACUUGUCGUAAACUAAUUUUAUUAUGGGUGCAGGAGCUGUUGUUGAGGUGACAUGCAAAGCCGGGAGCAAAAUUGUCAAGGCUUAUGGAAAAACUAAGAACAAUGGAAAGUAUGCCAUCACAGUUAAGGACUUUGACUAUGUCAAAUAUGGUUCGACAGUGUGCAAGGCUGCCCUAUAUGCUCCACCUAAGGGUUCACCCUUCAACAUACCUACAAAGCUAAAUCAAGGAACAAAGUUGUACUUGAAAUCCAAAGACAAGUACGAGGUUGUGCUCAAGGCUAAGCCAUUUGCUUAUGCUUCAAAGAAACAUUUCAAAGAAUGUGAGAAGCCUAAGCCUUCACCAACUCCUUACUACUACAAAUCACCUCCACCUCCCUCACCAGUUUACAAAUACAACUCACCACCUCCACCGGUCCAUUAUUAUUCACCUCCAUACACCUACAAGUCACCUCCUCCCCCUGUGAAAGCGGCACCAACUCCUUACUACUACAAAUCACCUCCACCACCCGCACCGGUUUACAAGUACAACUCACCCCCUCCACCGGUCCAUUAUUAUUCACCACCAUAUACCUAUAAGUCACCUCCUCCCCCUGUGAAAGCGGCACCAACUCCUUACUACUACAAAUCACCUCCACCUCCCGCACCGGUUUACAAGUACAACUCCCCACCUCCACCGGUCCAUUAUUAUUCACCUCCAUAUACCUACAAGUCACCUCCUCCCCCUGUGAAAGUGGCACCAACUCCUUACUACUACAAAUCACCUCCACCACCCGCACCGGUUUACAAGUACAACUCACCACCUCCACCGGUCCAUUAUUAUUCUCCACCAUACUACUACAAGUCACCACCCCCACCAUCUCCAUCACCUCCUCCACCAUACUAUUUCAAAUACUAUUACAAGUCCCCACCUCCACCAUCACCAUCCCCUCCUCCACCUUAUUAUUACAAAUCUCCUCCUCCACCAAAACAAAUUUCACACCCUCCAUACUACUAUAAGUCACCACCCCCACCAUCACCAUCACCUCCUCCACCAUACUAUUAUAAGUCUCCACCUCCACCAUCACCAUCUCCCCCACCACCUUAUUAUUAUAAGUCACCACCCCCACCAUCCCCGUCCCCUCCUCCACCAUACUACUACAAGUCUCCACCUCCACCUAAAGAAAUAUCACAUCCUCCAUAUAACUAUAAGUCACCACCCCCACCAUCACCAUCCCCUCCCCCUCCAUACUAUUACAAAUCUCCUCCACCACCAUCACCAUCACCACCACCUCCCUACUAUUACAAAUCACCUCCACCACCAUCACCAUCACCUCCCCCUCCAUACUAUUACAAAUCUCCUCCACCACCAUCACCAUCACCACCACCUCCUUACUAUUACAAAUCACCUCCACCACCAUCCCCAUCACCACCACCUCCAUACUACUACAAAAGUCCCCCUCCACCAUCUCCAUCUCCUCCAUCCCCAUAUUACUACAAAUCUCCACCACCACCAUCACCAUCCCCACCCCCUCCCUACUAUUACAAAUCACCUCCACCUCCCUCACCAUCACCGCCACCUCCUUACUAUUACAAAUCACCUCCACCUCCCUCACCAUCACCGCCACCUCCUUACUAUUACAAAUCUCCCCCACCUCCAUCUCCAUCUCCACCACCUCCUUACCACUAUCAAAGUCCUCCUCCACCAUCUCCCAUUUCUCAUCCUCCCUACUACUACAAAUCCCCUCCACCACCAUCGCCGUCUCCUCCACCUCCUUACCACUAUGUGAGUCCUCCCCCACCAGUAAAGUCACCUCCACCACCAACUUAUAUCUAUGCUUCACCACCACCACCUCACUACAACUAAGCUCAAAGAGCAGAAGCUCCGUUCAUUAUAAAUCAUGUAAGUUUAUCAUCUUCAAUUUUCUGAAUGUGUGCGUGUGUAUUUGUUUUUUUGUUACAAGAUACUAACAAAAUUCUUUUCUUAUUUAUGUUCAGGUUUUAGUUUUCAUCUAGGAAUAAAGGCAAGCUCCAUUUGGAGUAAAGUGAAACUUCUAGCUUCGUGUCCGAAUUCGUUAAAUAAAUGUCGGGAUGUAUCGUCUUUGAGCUAUAAUAUUUCUGAUCCAGACAAUAUCUAUUUUGUUUCUUUGGUGGCAAUCUUGCACUUCCUGGUCUUAGUCUAUUCAAGUGACAGACAAAUCAAAAGGGAGAAGCGAGAUUAAUUUAUUUGUGAUCUCUUUGAUUUAUUUGUGCAUAUAUCAAUAUGAACGUGUAUGAUAUUUUUCUAUUUAUUGAAGAUUUUUUUACUGUAACCUGUUAUUGUGUUUGUCAAAAGGUGUUAAUAAAGAAUCACAUUCAAUUUCUGUUAAAUUAUCAGUAUUUGUUUCUUUCUAACAACUACCAUUCAUGCAAAUGUGGCUAUUAAAAAAAGCUCCAAUGACACAUAAAAAGCUUCCAAACAAUAUAUAAACAAAGAUGCAUUGUUUUCUGUUAAGAAGGGGACAGGGUUACGGUUACUUGUGUACCAAGUUAGUUAUCCAUGCUUUCUUGUUCAUAGGAUUUAUAUGGUGUAGUUGCACUUAGUUGCUAAAUGUAUGCAAGCUUUUCCUUUCUAUAAAUAAGCACACCUACUAUCAUUCUUCUCCACAUUCCUUUCUACUCUUCUAUCAUGAAUUGUUCAUCCACAUAAGAUGGUCACAGAGCACACCUAAUACUCUGCUACUGGUGUAUCAGUUCCUUUCCACCAGAAACUUAUGAUCUCUAAUUGAAAGAGAUCCUAAAGUUUUAAGAUUUCUACAAAAUACAUUAUUCUCAUUUUUGUACAAGUAUGAUACAAUUAUUCCCAAGUAUUAUUUAUUCUAAGGAAUAGAAUUUAGUUGUGGUUUCUCUAUUUAACCAACAUUUAUUUUUAAAUAACUAAAUUUAAAAAAAAAAUCCUGAAAUUAUUAAGUACAUACCUAACACAUUGUAAAAUUUUGUUCCCAAAGAAAAUAUUUUUGGCAAUAGAAUUUUCAGGAACUUCAUUCCUAGGAAUAUAAUUCUAUACUAAGAGAAGAGCUUAAGCAUUGAUACAUAACAAGACCAAUCCAUAUCCUAAUCACAAUCCUACUUUCACUAAAUACUUUCACUUAAGUGUGGUCUUGGAAAGGACAAAUGAAGAAAGACAUUCCAGAGGUAUGGUAAGGGACAAUAUCUGCAGUUAUGCACAUAUUGCAAGAUUGUGAGGAACUACCGGACUGAUUUGAUUCACCAAAAAAUUUGGAAUAAAUAUUUCAGCCCAGAACUCAGACAAUGACUGGAUUGGAACCUUUCAGCUUCUAAUAUCGGUACUGUCCAAGGAAAUAGUCAUUCUCUUUUUGGAGUAGCUGUGAAGGAUUUAUGGAAAGAUAGAACUAAGCUGGUCUUUUCUAGAAACACCGCGAUUGGAACUACUCUAUUUUGGCUUGUAGCCAAUCCGGCUAAGUUUAUUAACAAUGUAGUUUGUACUCAAGCUCACAGUCACGAUGUUGUCAGCAACAGUGGGCAUAUUGUUUAGGUAGCCUGGAAUUUUCCUCCCCAACACUUCUUCAAAGUGAAUAUGAUGGAUCUCUACGGGAUUAUGUUAGUUUCCAGGAUCGAACUCAGAACCUCCUGAUUAUAACUCCUUCAAUGUAUGUCCCUUACCCACGUGGGGCCUCGGCUGUAAUUGUUAACAUGGUAAAAUUUGGCUCUUCCAAUAAUGGUUUUAUCCAAACUCGAGGUUGUUUAUCGUCUCCAACAAUCAGAUUGGAGAAUACUAGUGGUUCAUGCAUUUGAACAAACCAACUGUUGUGCAGAUUUUCUAGUUGAUUUUGUUUUUCCUUUUUUGAGUAUUUUAUUAGCCAAUGAUAUAAGAGGUUGUAGCCUACCUCUUUUGAUUUCUUAAGACAAUCACUUUUGCAUUAGAAAAAAACGACCCUACAUAAAAUUAAUGAUUGAAUUAAGAUAUAACUUCAGUUUGAAAUAUUGUAAAAUUCUAUACCACCAAAAACUGAGAAUUUUAGAACCAUACAGGUUGGUGGAGUGGUCAUCCAGAUAACUUUAACAUAAUUAACAGUCCAAAAAGUAAAUAGCUUUAUCCUUUAUUUUCAAUCUGAUGUGAUUUACUCUUAUCUGUUAAACAUUAUAAUUAAGAAUCCAAAGGGAACACUCACCUAAUCUCUCUCUUUUUUCUAGCUUUUUCACUAAACCACUGUGUCUGUGGUUACCACAUUUCCUUAUGGAAUCAAUAUCCAAUUUAUGUUAAAAACCAUUUCUACAUUUUGUGUUAAAAAUGAUCUAAACAAAGAUGAUUUAUUUCUCUUAAAUUCAACAUAGAUCAUAUUUACAUGGUUCAAACUUUCUAUUACACGGCAUUGACUUAGUUGCUUCACAUGGGGACACAACUAAUGCAUAUAUUAUUUUAUAUGCUUAUAGUAAUUUUAACAAGUGGCAAUGGGGCAUAUGUUUUGUCAAAAAAACACAAAAAACAGGAGGCAUGUGCAACUGAAGUCACUGCCAGCUUGGCACUAAGAUAUAGUAAAAUAAUUGACAUUUGAAGAAAACAAAGACGUUGCUACAUUUCUAUUCAAACAAGCGACAUCAAUAUCAGACAAUGGUGCUACAUUUAAUAAUACUACAGCUAUCCCCAUAAGCACCUCUUAGAAAGAAAAAAAAAUAUCCAUUAAAUUAAUGUUGGAAGAGUUAGCAACAUGUCCUCUCCCAAAAAAACUCAUGUUUGAUUCCUAGAGUCGUCCAUUUCGAAAGAAGCUCAACCCUGAUAAUAAAAACCUAGAUGUUAUGCUGCAGACUUAAAGAUCAAUUUCAUAAUGGAUCCAAAGGGCCUAAGCUGUGUGGGAUACUUAAGGGGGUAUAUUGAGGCUAAGGGUCAAAGAUCUUAAUUAUGGUCGGUUAAAAAAAGAAGAAAAAAAAAUUAUCUCUAAAUAUAAAGUCAACAAUAUUUCAAAUUGCAAGAUACAUUUAUUUAUUUUUUAAAUAUGUAUAUACCUCUUAUUAAUACUUACUAAUUUGUUUUGAGUGAUAAAAAGUUACGAGUUAGACAGAUCAGCACAUAAAAAAAGUAUUUGAAAAACAUCUACCAACAAAAUAAACACAUUAAAAACAAUACUACUUUUUUACAAUACUGUAUGUGAAAAUGACAAAAUCUUGAAAAAGAUGGAGGUAACAUGUACUCUUUUUUUUUUAGAGGGGAGCAUGUACUUUUCCACUAACAAUGUUGAUAAGAAACAUAUAAAAUACUAUUAGAGAAAGAAAAAAAAUAAUAAAUAAAGAAAUAUAUAAAAUACUGAGGAAUGACUCACUCAUGUCAAAUUUUAGCAAGGGAGAAGUGAUAUCACAUCAUUUUAGAAGAGGAAUGAGAAUAGAUAGAUCUAAUUUUUCUAGUAAGUUUGAAUAGUAGAAUCAUACUUCUUUGUCUUUUGUGAAAAUUUCAUAUUAUGGGAUCUAUUACUAGAAUACAGGUGAUUUUAUUCUGGAAGAUUGACUUUUUAUUAAAAUAAAAUAAAAGUACAUUUUUUAUUUCCAAAUGCUUAGUUGUUCAUUUAUAAAUAUUACAUUAUCCAACAGCACCAAACCCUAUUUCAUAACGGUACUCUGCACGUUUCAUUCAUUUACUGGUGCCUUAGUUUUUUGUUACAAACAGACAUUGAUCAGAGGAACAAAUGUAGAGACAAAUUGAAGAUAAUAUAUCACAUAAUAUUGUAGACACACCUUCACAUACAAAUGGGGUAAAGUCCCUCAUAGUAGUAUUAGAAAUAACACUUAGAGUAAAAUUUUGCUAAAUUUAACAUGAAAAUAAGUGUAAUGUAUUUUAUAGGCAGCUAUACAUAAUUAUUAAUUAGAACAAUUUUUUACACUGUCAAACAAAAAUUGAACAAUUUUUUACUAGCUUUAUGCUUUAUGAUGUUUUGAUUCCAUGUGCACAUUUCAAUUUUAGAACUAUUCCUUUCUAUGUUACUGAAAUAAUUCUAUCAUUAGGCAUUGACAUUUCCAUUAUGCGUGCACGUUAAAGUGUUUUCCCAAACAGAGAAAUAUUAAGAAAGGUUAAACUUUUGACUUAAAGACACAACUAAAAUAAGAUCCAAGGAAAACCCCAUUGAUUAUUUCUUGCACAAAAUUAAAAACCCCAUUGAUUAUUUCUUGCACAAAAUUAAAAUGCUAAUAAUUUUUCCUGGUCUAUAUUUUUCUCCUUCCGGGAAAUGGCAACAUCACAUGUUCAUCUCAUAAUUGAGAAAACACAUGUCUGGGAAAAUAUCUUAAAGAAAAGGCAGUAAAGUAAUAAAAAGUGCACCAAAUAGAGAUUAACUAGUACUCUUUGCAUGUCAACUAAGUGGUAUAAUUAUGUAUAUCACAUUCUUAAUAUUGAUUAUCUUGAUUGCACGAUAAGCCCCUCAAAUUGCUCAAUCGAUGAUUGCUUGAUAAGCCCAUCAAAUUGCCCAAUCGAUCGAAUCGUAACUUUCGAUAGACAUUUUUUUUAAGAAAACCCAAUUGGAUCAUAACUCCCCAUAGUCAUUUAUUUGAAAUUGUGAGCAAUUUGAUAACUUAUUGAGCAAUCACCAUUGAUUUUAGUCUCAAUUUAUCCUAAUGUUGUAACCCUGGAAUAAUGGAACAGUGAGUAAAUUUGGUUUCUCCGUCUCAAAAUAAGUGUCACAAUUUAACCAUGUGCACUACUCAUCAAAUCUACUUUGACAACAUUUUUUUUACUAAUAUAUAAAGACAAUGUUAGUACAUUACAUGUUCGAUUUGUCUUAGUUAAUGUUUUUAAAAUAUCGACUUUAUUAUAAUUUUUCUUAAUAGACAAUCAAAAAUAUCAAUUGUCAAAAUUGUGUAUUGAUAUGUAUGAAAAUCAAACUAUAACACUUACUUUGAGACGAAGAGAAUAACUAUUAAAAACUAAUGUUCAAAUAGAAAGAAAAGAAAACAAAGAUUCCAUACAAAGCUUGCAAAAUAGCUACAAUCAUAACCUAGAACAAAAAUCAUGACCACACACUAUAUCCAUUUUCCUUUUCCUAAAAAGCAAUUGAAGAUAAAAAAAAAAAAAAUAAUAAAUAAAAAAAAAAAAAAAAAAAAAAAAAANACCACCAUACUACUACAAAUCCCCACCUCCACCAUCGCCUUCUCCUCCACCACCAUACUACUACAAAUCCCCACCUCCACCAUCGCCUUCUCCUCCACCACCAUACUACUACAAAUCCCCACCUCCACCAUCGCCUUCUCCUCCACCACCAUACUACUACAAAUCCCCACCUCCACCAUCGCCUUCUCCUCCACCACCAUACUACUACAAAUCCCCACCUCCACCAUCGCCUUCUCCUCCACCACCAUACUACUACAAAUCCCCACCUCCACCAUCGCCUUCUCCUCCACCACCAUACUACUACAAAUCCCCACCUCCACCAUCGCCUUCUCCUCCACCACCAUACUACUACAAAUCCCCACCUCCACCAUCGCCUUCUCCUCCACCACCAUACUACUACAAAUCCCCACCUCCACCAUCGCCUUCUCCUCCACCACCAUACUACUACAAAUCCCCACCUCCACCAUCGCCUUCUCCUCCACCACCAUACUACUACAAAUCCCCACCUCCACCAUCGCCUUCUCCUCCACCACCAUACUACUACAAAUCCCCACCUCCACCAUCGCCUUCUCCUCCACCACCAUACUACUACAAAUCCCCACCUCCACCAUCGCCUUCUCCUCCACCACCAUACUACUACAAAUCCCCACCUCCACCAUCGCCUUCUCCUCCACCACCAUACUACUACAAAUCCCCACCUCCACCAUCGCCUUCUCCUCCACCACCAUACUACUACAAAUCCCCACCUCCACCAUCGCCUUCUCCUCCACCACCAUACUACUACAAAUCCCCACCUCCACCAUCGCCUUCUCCUCCACCACCAUACUACUACAAAUCCCCACCUCCACCAUCGCCUUCUCCUCCACCACCAUACUACUACAAAUCCCCACCUCCACCAUCGCCUUCUCCUCCACCACCAUACUACUACAAAUCCCCACCUCCACCAUCGCCUUCUCCUCCACCACCAUACUACUACAAAUCCCCACCUCCACCAUCGCCUUCUCCUCCACCACCAUACUACUACAAAUCCCCACCUCCACCAUCGCCUUCUCCUCCACCACCAUACUACUACAAAUCCCCACCUCCACCAUCGCCUUCUCCUCCACCACCAUACUACUACAAAUCCCCACCUCCACCAUCGCCUUCUCCUCCACCACCAUACUACUACAAAUCCCCACCUCCACCAUCGCCUUCUCCUCCACCACCAUACUACUACAAAUCCCCACCUCCACCAUCGCCUUCUCCUCCACCACCAUACUACUACAAAUCCCCACCUCCACCAUCGCCUUCUCCUCCACCACCAUACUACUACAAAUCCCCACCUCCACCAUCGCCUUCUCCUCCACCACCAUACUACUACAAAUCCCCACCUCCACCAUCGCCUUCUCCUCCCCCACCUUACUAUUACAAAUCCCCACCGCCACCUUCACCAUCUCCCCCACCACCCUACUACUAUAAAUCACCCCCACCACCUUCACCAUCUCCUCCACCACCAUACUACUACAAAUCACCCCCACCGCCAUAUGAACACAAGACUAAACCAUACUAUUACAAGUCUCCUCCACCACCAUAUGAACACAAGACUAAACCAUACUAUUACAAGUCCCCACCACCACCUUCACCAUCUCCUCCACCACCAUACUAUUACAAGUCCCCACCACCACCUUCACCGUCUCCACCCCCACCAUACUACUACAAAUCACCUCCUCCUCCAUCACCUAUUCCCCAUACACCUUACUACUACAAGUCCCCACCACCACCUAAGGUUCUUCCACCACCAUACUAUUACAACUCUCCUCCUCCACCUGUUGUGUAUCAUCACCCUCAUCCCUACCACCAUGCAUUGAUCGUGAAGGUAGUGGGUAACGUCUACAGCUUCAGAUGUUAUGACUGGGAGUAUCCUGAAAAGUCUCAUAACAAGAAACACCUCAAAGGUACAUCACAUUACAUUUCUCAAUUCUUUCAUUUUUAUAGAUUUUAUGUACAUCACUAUUGGCUCGUAGUUUCUCAAUACCAUUACAACUAAACUGCAAGUUUCAGUAAUGAGAUUCAUAUAGACAUGUUUUUAUUAACAUCUUUGUUUCUUAGAAAUUAUACAAACACUUAAUUUAGGUUUCUCCAUGUCCAAUAAAGUAAACAAUUGAUAUAUCAAAUUAACAUAUAUGAUAUAUCAUUUACCUCAUUAAAAUUUAAUAAUCCUGCCUAAUAUAAAGAUUCGGUUUGAAAAUGAUAGUUUAGUGAGCUUCUUUAUAAUAACACUCUCCAAUAUAUUAUGUUUUAAAAACAAUUAUAUUUCUAUUUGUCUAAAUUCAAAUUUGUUAUGGGACAGGUGCUGUUGUUGAAGUGACAUGCAAAGCCGGGAGCAAAAUCAUCAAGGCUUACGGUAAAACUAAGAUCAAUGGAAAGUAUGCCAUCACAGUUAAGGACUUUGACUAUGUCAAAUAUGGUUCAACAGUGUGCAAGGCUGCCCUUUAUGCUCCACCUAAGGGUUCACCCUUCAACAUACCUACAAAGCUAAACCAAGGAACAAACUUGUACUUGAAAUCCAAAGACAAGUACGAGGUUGUGCUCAAGGCUAAGCCAUUUGCUUAUGCUUCAAAGAAACAUUUCAAAGAAUGUGAGAAGUCCAAGCCUUCACCAACUCCUUACUACUACAAAUCACCUCCACCUCCCUCACCAGUUUACAAGUAUAACUCACCACCUCCACCCGUCCAUUAUUACUCACCUCCAUAUUACUACAAGUCACCUCCUCCCCCCGUGAAAGCGGCACCAACUCCUUACUACUACAAAUCACCUCCACCUCCCGCACCAGUUUACAAGUACAACUCCCCACCUCCGCCAGUCCAUUACUAUUCACCUCCAUACACCUAUAAGUCACCUCCUCCUCCUGUGAAAGCAGCACCAACUCCUUACUACUACAAAUCACCUCCACCUCCCGCACCGGUUUACAAGUACAACUCACCACCUCCACCGGUCCAUUAUUAUUCUCCACCAUACUACUACAAGUCACCACCCCCACCAUCUCCAUCACCUCCUCCACCAUACUAUUUCAAAUACUAUUACAAGUCCCCACCUCCACCAUCACCAUCCCCUCCUCCACCUUAUUAUUACAAAUCUCCUCCUCCACCAAAACAAAUUUCACACCCUCCAUACUACUAUAAGUCACCACCCCCACCAUCACCAUCACCUCCUCCACCAUACUAUUAUAAGUCUCCACCUCCACCAUCACCAUCUCCCCCACCACCUUAUUAUUAUAAGUCACCACCCCCACCAUCCCCGUCCCCUCCUCCACCAUACUACUACAAGUCUCCACCUCCACCUAAAGAAAUAUCACAUCCUCCAUAUAACUAUAAGUCACCACCCCCACCAUCACCAUCCCCUCCCCCUCCAUACUAUUACAAAUCUCCUCCACCACCAUCACCAUCACCACCACCUCCCUACUAUUACAAAUCACCUCCACCACCAUCACCAUCACCUCCCCCUCCAUACUAUUACAAAUCUCCUCCACCACCAUCACCAUCACCACCACCUCCUUACUAUUACAAAUCACCUCCACCACCAUCCCCAUCACCACCACCUCCAUACUACUACAAAAGUCCCCCUCCACCAUCUCCAUCUCCUCCAUCCCCAUAUUACUACAAAUCUCCACCACCACCAUCACCAUCCCCACCCCCUCCCUACUAUUACAAAUCACCUCCACCUCCCUCACCAUCACCGCCACCUCCUUACUAUUACAAAUCUCCCCCACCUCCAUCUCCAUCUCCACCACCUCCUUAUCACUAUCAAAGUCCUCCUCCCCCAUCUCCCAUUUCUCAUCCUCCCAACUACUACAAAUCCCCUCCACCACCAUCGCCAUCUCCUCCACCUCCAUACCAUUACGUGAGUCCUCCCCCACCAGUAAAGUCACCUCCACCACCAGCUUACAUCUAUGCUUCUCCACCACCACCAAUCUACAACUAGCCUCACAACACCAAAUCACCAUUGGUGAUAAAUUAUGUAAGUUUACCAUUAUUGCAAUCAUAACACUUGCAUCUUUUCCCACCCAUACACACACAUAUCACAUGUUUAAAUUUUAUGUACUAAUCAACAAAAACUCUUAUUUGUUUUCAGGUUCUAGUUUUCAUCAAGGAAUAAAGUCGUCCAUUUGGAGCAAAGUGAAACAACUAGCUCUCUGUCCAAAUUAUUUGAUGGCCAUCUUGCACUUCCUAAUCUUAUUGUGUUCAAGUGACUGGCUAAUCAAAAUGUGGAAGCGAGAUUAAUUUAUUUAUUAUCUCUUUGAUUUAUAUGUGCAUAGAUUGAUAUUUCCCUGUAUGAUAACUUUAUUUUUAUUGAGGAUUUUUUGUAUUGUACCCUGUUGUGUUUGUUAAAAUAAGUAUUAUCAAUGAAGAAUUACCUUCAAUUUCUUUCCACCUAAUUAGUUCUUGUUUCUUUUAAACAACUAUCAAGCAUGUCAGCAAGGCAAAGCAUACCACUACCACCAUAUCACCAUAAAAUGCAUCAUUAUUCAUUGCAUAUGAGAUAAAUAUAUGCAAACUAUAUCUAAUUAUUAAGAGGGGGAAAAAACUAAUGUACAGAAAAUGUACCUCAAGGCUUCAGGAUAGGUGUUAGAAACCCAAGCUUUUAAUAGCUCUCUCCAAGAAUCCUCGUUUCUACAACUUAAGUUCCUAUAUUAAUCAAUUAUAAUAUAUGAGAAACUUAUGUUGUCGACCAACAAUACAGGUGACUCAAAAAAAUAUUAUAUUUUAAAAGUCAAACCUUGAGCUAUACACAUGUAAGCAUCAUCAAUAUAAGUUUCACCAUUGUUCAUGUGUAUUAUUCCAUAAAUUUUGGCUCAGUUGAGGUUACUACACUGGUUUUCUUCCUAUUGUAUCAUAUAUUUAAAUACUAUGGUGCGUUUGGAUAAACAGCUUAUGUCACAAGCACUUAUCAUGAUAAGCGCUUUUGUAUAAACUUGCAUGAGUUAUUUUCAUAUCAAAAGAUAAACAAGAACAUUAAAUUGUUUUUGUAUAUUACUUAAGUUGUUUUCAUAAGCUAUGUUGAAGAACUAAUGAAAAUUAGCUGAAAAAAGCUUAUGCUGUUUUCAUGAAUUCUCCCUAACAGUCUCACAAUAUUUAUGUCAGUAUAUAAUCAAAUAAGUCAAUCCAAACAGGCCCCACGUCUUCUAUAUUAGACCAUAUGACAAUUUCUUUUCGGUUUAUUCUCAUUAAAAGUUAAAAAUGGUGUAUUUGAAUCCUAUAAUUCUUUGUCAUACAAGUGCAUUCAAAUACAAUUUGAAGCCAUGGUGAAAGUGUUUAAUUUGCAGAGCUCACCAACAUAAUCUAACGUAUAUUUGGAUUGACUUAUUUGAACUUAUCUACUAGCACAAAUACUUGUGAGAUUGUUUACGAAAGUUUAUGGAAAAAACUUACAACACACACAUAAGUUGUUUUCAGCUUAUUUCCAUAAACUCUUCAAAAUAGCUUAUGAAACAACUUAUAUGAUAAGAGCUUAUUCUAUAAGCGCUUAAUUAAGUUUUAAUCCAUUCUUCUUCUACCUUCAUCUUCAGUUAACAAAACGAAUACAAUUUCUGAAAAUUCAAAGUUCAAACACCAAAAAAUACCUAAAAUGAAAAAUUGUUGAAUGAAAGCGCAAAUAGAACCUGGCAAUGCGUUCGAGAAGCACGUGGAGGAGGUGGCGUGGCAGAAGAAUGUGUGGAUUUCAUCGGAGAAUUUCAGUUCUGCUCGCGCCAUUUAAGAAAUUUUGUAAACUUAAAGUUUAGUUUAAGUUUACCCCUCUUUUUUUUUCAUUUUAAAGGAGUUUACCCUACAAAUUUUUGUAUGUUUUUGCCACGUUUACAAAUGAUUUAAUAUGUUUUUAUCCUAUAUAUAUUUAGGGAUGUAAAUGGAUAUUAUGAUGCGGAUAGUGUAAUAUUUGUGUCUGUUCCAUUGGAUAAAUAUGAAAUCUGUACCAUAUUCAUAUCGUACGGAUAUCUGUUUAGCGGGUAAUCCACAGAUUUUGAGAUAUUUGAGUGUUUAUAGAUAUAUUCAUUGAUAACAUUUAUAAAAAUAAAAUAAAAAAUUUGUUUAAUUCUUUUUAGAGACAAAGGUUCUUCAUAUGCAUUUUCUUUUCUUUUUAACAAAACAUAAUAUUCAUACAUUAUAAUAACAACAAAGAUCAUUGACUCAACAAAAACAUAAAUAAAGUUGCUUACAUUUAAUAAAAAUAAAGUUAUUUGAUUUAACAAAAACAAAGCUCUUGCAUCAACAAUCCCAACCACUUUCACUUCCUUUUAAAAGAGUGUAAUAACAAAUAACACUCACAAUACAUAAGGUUUUUUUUUAGGAAGUUGAAUGAUAUUAAGGUUAUUUAUGUAAUUUACUCGGUUUAAUAGUCGGUAUGGAUAUCCACGGGUGUGGAUACCGUUAAAUCCGCAUCCAUAUCCAUUAAUUAGCAGGUAGUUAAAAAAUUCAUUUAUUUUAUCCAUUGAUAUCCAUUAAGGUAUCCGCUCCGUGCCCGUGACGGAUUAUAUCCGCGGAUAUUCACGGGUGCGAAUUUUUUUGUCAUCCCUAUAUAUAUAUAUUAGUCUUAAACUUGACUAUUUUUUAUUAUCAUUUGGUGCUAUAAUUAAAAAAAAAAAAAAAAUAUUGUUCGUCUGAGCCAUUUAGCUACAGGCUAUUACUUUUCUCAUUCUACAUGUUUCUCGCUUGUCCUAUUUUUUUUUUAAUACUUUUUGCUCGAAUUCUAAAAUCUAAACUCCUAUAGGGAUUUUUGGAUUCUAUAAUCCAAAACACGUUGAAACCCAAAAAUAAAAUAAAAAACUAUGUAAUUGAAAUCAAAGAUCUCUACUGCUAAUGCACGUUUUCCACAAAAACUACAAAGUAAUUUCAAAGUAAUUUCACAAAAACUAUCGUAUGAAUAGACAGCAAUGAGCAUGAUAUCAUAAAUAACUCAAAACUUUAUAAAAAUAAAAAUAAAAAAAUGAAUAAGAAGAUGUGAAGAAUGAAUGUAAACGUUGGAGGAUACAAAGCUAUUUAUAGACAUAAAAUGUUCCUAGACUCUAAAGUGGGUCAAAGAAAACAUGAAUAACAUUUACAACUUAAUUAACACAUCACAGAUCAUUCAAACCUUUGGUGUAACAUCAUCGUAUGUAGUCUGGCACAGUUUGGAUUAUACAAUCUGAACAUUUCAUAAGCAGUUUGGAUUAUAUAAUUUGAACUAUCCCAGACUGUGUUUCAGCUUGAUGUUUGGAGGGUUUUGUAUGGUGGAUAACACAAAAAAAUGACAUAAUUCAACAACGUAAAAAAUAUAAUAAGAUAAGUGAUGAUGAAAGGGAAGCCGCACCAAGAGGUGUUUUUGAAUUCGAUCCAGUUGUCCUAUCAACUGACAUAUAUUUCUAUUGGCAUGGCAGCAAGAUCAAGUUUCAAAACGACCUUUUUGUGUUCAUAUCCGCAAAAUAAUGAUGAAAGGCAAGGUAUUCCAAGAAGUGUUUUUUAACUUGAUCUCGCUACCUUGUCAACUAACAUAUUUCUAUAGACAGUGCAGCAAGAUCAAAUUUAUAACAACCUCUAGGUGUUCAUAUCCGCUAAGUAAUUUUUCGUAGUUCUUUAUUGUGAUCUACAAAAAAAAAAAAAAAAAAGAUCUAUUUAUAUAAGUUUAUGUGCGUCGCGAACCAGAUAAAUUUUCGAUGCAUUGUGGACCAAAAAAAAAUUCUAAUUCGGACUAAACAAGAUGAAUUUUCCUUCACCCUAGAAAGUAAAAGUUUUGACAAACACAAGACUGAUUAUACAUUAAAUACAACAAUCAGCCAAACUAAACAUAUUAGAUCACAAAUCUUUCAAACUAACUUCUUCAUUGGAUUCCUCCAAGAGAGCCUUGAUUUAUUUGUAUGUUCUAGGCCGAAUCAAUUUUUUUUAAUAUCUUUGAAAGGGCCCGACCAAGAAAACAUCCAACUCAAUUGGUCAUUUAAUACCGUACUGACCAAAUAUUAAAACAUUAUUCUCUUAUCGCAUUGUUCCUGAGUUUAAUCUAGGUAAACUAGAUGCUUUCAUCUUAGCCAAUCGAUGGACUUUGAUGCUCAACAUUGUCCAUCCUUCUUGUGUCUGUGUUGUUGAGUCGACGGUUGAUUUAGUCCAGCUAAUAUUGGACUUUCCCCCAUUGUAGUAAACUACAGUUAGUUUGGUGUCAGAUCAAUGAUUGAAGUGUUCAUGAUUAUUUGGUGUGGUUUAUAGCAAAUGAAAACAAGCACACCAAUUUAUAGAAGUUUAUGUGCGCCGCGGACUACAAUAACUAUUGGUGCAAUGAAGACCAUAGAAAAAGCAUGUACUUGGCUGAUUUGGAUUAUAUAAUUUACAUUGUCCCUCACCCUACAAAGUACAAAUUUCAACACAAUAUUGAACCAAUUCGGAUUAUAGAAUCCAAUCAUUUAUGAGAUAAUUUCGGAUUAUAUAAUUAAAACUAGUUCACAAUGUGAACCGCAGCUUGGUCAGCAAGACUAACUCAUUAAAAAUGUUUUUUAAGUUGGUGAACGACGCUUGACUGGUCAGCAAGACUUGAAAACAAUUUUCGUACCAUGCAUUAAUGGACCAUUACCCUCUAUGAAAUGUACUUCACAAAUUCUCCUUCCGAAUACCCACUAAUACAUCACAAAUUCUUAUUUCAUCUCACAUUCUCUCGUUCUUUUUACUUCUACAAUGUGCUUCCAUAGUUUGUGUUUCAUACAAAAAUGUUACUCUAAUAUUUUAUGGAUUGUAUGAAUGGUCAAAAGGCAAAAAUUGGCACCAUCUGUUUGGAUGUAAGGUUGAUCAUCAAAGUCUAAUCCACUAAGAGAGGAAACAAACCUUACCCCAACCUCAUUCCCCAUUCAUCUUCUUGCACCGCAUGUUUAAAUGAUACUCCCUCCGGUCCUAUUUAUAAGAGAAAGUUAGGUCAACAAAAGUUGAUGUAUCUGAACUGAAUUUUUAACCGGAUACAUCAACUUUUGUUGACCCAAAUUUCUCUUAUAAAUAGGACCGGAGGGAGUAUUUGUACAACCAUUUUGGUACAACUUUUGUACAACUUUCUCUCUCAUACUCACAUUAUGUUUUUAUUCUCUCUCUUACUUUUUUUCUCUCCAUUGUGGUUGACCAAUAAGAAGGGAGAAUAUCAAGGUUGUCACAAAAAUUGUAACAAAAGAGUUGUUCAAAUAUCAUUACUCUUAUCAUUAUGUGUUAAAUAAUUUUGUGUAAUAAGCUUCAAUGACAAUGUAAAUAUACAAUAAAAGAUAUAAAUUAUUCAUAAAAUGAAAAUUUUAUUCAUUUAUCUUUUUAUAUUUUUGUCUCUUUUAGUUUCAGUCAUUUUCAAUUAUGCAUUCUUAAUAUUAUGUCAAUGUUGAUCAAUAAUUAUUGGCAAAAGAAGUUUUCAUGUUAUAGAAUAUGAAAAUCCCUGGUACCAAAAAAAAAAAAAAUCUGAAAAUCCCUCUAUAGGAUUUCAGAUUUUAGAAUCCGACCAAAUGGUAUUUUGAAGAGAGAAAAAUAGUGUGUCUAAGUAACUCAUGUUGAGAAAAGUAAUAGCCUUAAUUAUGUCUCCGAUAAACAUUUUAUUCCCUUCCGUUAAUCAGUUAAUCCCAAAUGUCUAAGGUGAACCAAUAUUAUAGGUGGUCUACCAUAAACCUCAUAACAAUUUUAAGGUCAAAUACCACUUUUGGUCAUUUUAGUUUGACAGAAUUCUCAAGUUAGUCAUUUAAGUUUCGAAAGUUUCAAUUAGGUCCUUUUAGUUUGACAGAAUUCCCAAGUUAAUCCUUUAAGUCAUAAAAUUCAGGGGAGCAAAGUAGAUACUCCAGUUUUCAGAGGCGGAGACAUAGUCAUGUCAAAAGCAUCCCACAUCCUAUUACCACCUACUUGAACUCAUCAAGCUUGGUAUGGACCAUUCACAGUAACAUGUGUAUGUAGUCUCGUGGAGAUCUGGGACAAUAUCAAAUGGCAUGCUAAGGUGAAUCGACACAAACUGAAGCAUGUUAAAGAUUGCAUCCGGAAAAUGAAAGUUGAAGAAGAUGAACCUGCUUUGAAGAGGUUCAAGGGCACAACAUAGACUUAUUCUCCAUGUUCAAGAUGUAAAACACGCAUUGAACGAGAGACAACCCAUUAAUUUAUUUUCUCCGUUAUUUGUCUUGUGUCAUUUUUGCUCGAAUUUUUUGCCGUCAAUUCUUUAUGAAUUAUCAGUCAUAUUAUAUUACACACUAGACAAUUUUUUUGGUACCUUGAGCCUUUUCAAUCCGCCCUUAUCAUCAUUAUAUCCUUUGCUAAAUCCCUUUGAGCUUCCAUGCAUUAUUUCUUUUGUUUUUUUUAUUAAGUAACAAAUCAUGUCACAAGUUUGAACUUUUAAUGCCAUCUAUUUGAUUUCUUUUAUAGUUAGAUAGAAUAUUUUUAAGAACUUGGUAUGAUUUGAAUAUAUGUUAGGGUUAUAAGGGAGAAAUGUAAUGGCAAAGAGGAAGAGCAAGAAAAGAGAUGAAAGAUGAAGGGACAUUAGGCAGACUCAAUCACGGUAGUUAGAAUGAUUGCCUUCUGUUUUGCAGUAAUUUGCAUGAGCUUCACUUUUCAAGUAGAGUAAAAAAAACAGGAAUAGAUAGACACAUUUCUUCUAAGUUUGAGUAGUGAGUGAUAACACUUCUAUGUAAUCCCUAAAAAAAAACACUUCUAUGUAAAAAAAUCACAUGGGAAAUCCAUUCCUAUAGUACACGUAAUUUUGAUCUGGAAGGUUGACUUUUCAACAAAAUAACCUAAAAUAAUUUGUUCAUAACAUAAUAGAGGAAUCUAGAAGUGUUCGCGGUGCGGUUUGAUUCGGUUUUGAGCAAAAAAGUCAUCCAAACCGCGCGAUAAAAAAACAUGUGGUUUGGUUCGGUUGAUUUUUAAAAAAUCAUCCAAACCAAACCAAACUAAACCAAUACGGUUUGGAUUGGUUCGGUUUGUGCGGUUUAUCGCGAGAUAAAAAAAAAAUAUUACAUUAACUCUAAUAUUUCCAAAUUGUUACAAAAUAAACAUAGAACGUUUUUUUAUUUAUUUUUAUAUGAUAAAAUAUUAGGUAAAACUCAUAUCAAAAUAGGUAAAAUUAAGAAGAAUUUAUAAGCAUGAAACAAAUUAUUGGAAAGUAAAGGAAACAAAUUUAAGUAAUAUUCAUUAUUCUUGCAGCUAUGUAAUUGGGCUAGAAACAUUUUAUUUUGAUGUUUAUAUCGAACAUGAUGGUGCAACAAUGGAAAAAUCAAAUCAAAAAAGAUUAUUCUUGAGCUAUGUAAUUGAGCUAGUACAUAUUUAAGUAAUAUUCAUUAUUCUUGCGGUUUGGUUUGGUUUGAUUCGGUUGCUGAGAUGCAAACCGCAAAUCAAACCAAACUGUAUGUUUUAGUGCAAAAGUCAUCUGAAUUCAUCCGAAAUCAAGUACGAUUUUUUACGAUUUUGAAUUGGUUUAAUUUGCCGUUUUUCUAUUGGAUUGGUUCGGUUUGAACGAUCUGCAUGAAUUCUUCUAGUUGAUUGUUGGACUAUUUUUAAUUGGCAAAGGCUUAGUUGUCCAUUUAUAAAUAUAAAUACUAUUAUUACAUUAUCCAAUCCAAUAGCACCAAAACCAAUAUAAUAAUGGUAAUUUGCAAUUUUGCACGUUUCAUUCAUUUAUUGGUGCCUUAAUUUUGGGUUACAGACCGACAUUGAUCAGUUGCUAAAAAACCACUGCAUCCUUAUUUUUUACGAGGUAGAUGCAUCGGACAAAUAAACCGACAAACAAAGCUAUUCAGAAAGUGCUCAGAAAUUUUUUGUGCCCCAACAGAAAAUAUUAAGAAAGUCUUGCUACACAGUGUCUUGUAUACAAGUGAAAUAUGUGUGGUAUUAUGCACAAGUUUAUUUUUACAAGUUGAUAUAAGAAUCUAAGUAUAUUUUUAUGGAAAAUUAAUGCUAACAAAUACUUUCAAAGCAUUGUUUAAGCAAUCAAUAUUAGUAACUUUUGCAUAGAAAUAUGUGUGAUUAUUAUUUUUUCAUAUGUUUUAUAUGUUUUCAAGAAAAUAUUUUUAUUUAUGGUUUUUUUAAAUAGUGUCCUUAGGUACUUGUUAGCAAAAUCUUAUUUAUAUAAGUUGAUCUAAGAAUCUCAUUAUUGUAUCGAGUGAGAUACGGCCAUACCGAAGCUUAUGGAUUCCAUAGUGGAAAAAUAACUUUUCAUCAGUGCAAUACUAUUUUAGUUGUAGAAUUUCUUUUCUUGUGUGUCCUAUUUCAGAUUUUAAAAUCCAAACAAUCGAAGGUUUAUGAAGGUUUUUCGAACAUUUUCGCACUGUUUGAAUUAUAUGAUCUGAAAUGUCAUAGAACAUGCGAGAAGCAAGUUGAAUGAAAUAAAAAACUCCUGCUCAAUAGAAUUAUUUUACUUGGUUAUUGUUUGAAUUUUAUUCUCCUUCAAAGACGGCAAUGUGCAAUUGUGCAUUUCAUCCGGAGAGUGGCAACAUCUCAUGCAUGUUCAUCUCAUAUAACUGAGAAGUCACAUGGCUUGGAAAAUCUUAAACCGAGAAAAACAAAAGGAGUAAAAGUAAUAAUAGUGAACCAAAGUGAAGAUGAACUUGUAGUCUAUCAAAAGAAGAUGAACUUGUUCGUCUUGGCAUAGUAACUCAUUUUUAUUCCUUGUUACCUAUGAAACACGGACAAUAGAUACAACACGGACACCAAUACGUUAAUACCGUUAAUAAUAUAAAAAAAUAGGUACAUUGAAUAAUUAAUGUAUUUGACCUAUAAAUGUGACCAGAUAUAUUAAUUAUUCAAUGUAUCUAAAAAGUUGGUUUUUGUUUAUAAAUAUGAUCAUAUGGAGUACUACUUUAGUGUAAUUUUAUGUAUUGGUACUGCGAGACAUCUAAUCUAAAGAGUGUCAAUGUUUUCACACAUAUUACUCACCAAAGUGCACACAUUAUAUGCAUUUAGGUAAACUGAGUUCAUCCAAAAUUGUAACCGCACAAACAGAGGGCCGCUAGGAAAUAUGAGGUAAAUUUGGAUUAUUCUUUAUCAAAAGCUUAUGACCAAAGAAAAACUAUACAAAAACUAAUGUUCAAAAAGUACAUAAAGUAAUAAUGCAAAGUCAAUGUGUAUAUAUAUUUCACCAUUAAAUAAAAGGGGAAAAAAAUCUCCAUACACAGCUUGCAAUAGCUACCAUCAUGGCCUAAAGCAAAUAUCAUAUGACCACUAAAAAACAAUAGAAAAUAAACAAAUAAAAAGAGAAAAACAAAAGAGAAAAUGGUAUAAAGAAAUCAUGUAGUAGUUAGUUUUUUCUCAAGAUGGGCAACUCAGCAGGGCUGCUAGGAGGAAAUUACAAAAGAACAUGACACUUAACUUCUCUAAUCAUUCAAAAUUUGUCAAGAUGCUGAUUAUAUAUUUUAAUUAGUAGUUAGAGAUUGUUAUAGUAACGUGUUCUAGCCAUCAAGAAUAAAACAAUGUCAUGGAAAAGAAGUGGCCUACUAGAAGAAUUAAUUUAAAGCAUUUACACCAAAAUAAAAACAAAUUGAAUAUUGGAAUUGGUCCUUCAUGAUAGCUUCCCCUUAACAACUAACUCUAACUAUAAAUACUGAAUCUUGCAUGCAACAUUUCAUAGUAAACACUAAGACCAAAACCUCUUCUUUCUAUCCAUGACUGCUAGGGCUAGUUGCCCCAAAAUGGGGCAUUUUUGGCCACAAAUGGCAAUGGCAUUGGCCAUUGUUUUGAUUUCUACUACUAUGGUUUCUGCUUCUGAUAGCUACAUUUACUCUUCGCCUCCACCACCUUAUGAGUACAAGUCCCCACCACCGCCGUCUCCCUCACCACCUCCUCCUUAUGUGUAUAAGUCACCACCUCCCCCAUCCUCGUCACCCCCACCACCAUAUGAGCACAAGGCUCCAUCUUAUGAGUACAAGUCACCACCACCACCAACUUCUUCACCACCACCUCCUUAUGUAUACAAGUCACCACCACCACCAUCUCCUUCACCGUCACCUCCUUAUGUGUACAAGUCACCACCACCUCCAUCCCCAUCACCCCCACCUCCUUACGUGUACAAGUCACCACCACCACCCUCGCCUUCCCCGCCCCCACCAUACUAUUACAAGUCUCCUCCACCACCCUCGCCUUCCCCACCGCCACCAUACUAUUACAAGAGUCCUCCACCACCCUCUCCUUCACCUCCACCUCCUUACUACUAUAAAUCGCCUCCACCACCCUCACCUUCCCCUCCCCCACCAUACUAUUACAAGUCUCCUCCACCACCAUCUCCCUCACCACCUCCUCCAUAUUACUACAAGUCUCCCACACCACCUUCACCCUCCUCUCCACCCCCAUAUAUACACAAGGAUCCACCAUACUAUUACAAGUCCCCACCACCCCCUUCACCAUCUCCUCCACCACCAUACUACUAUAAAUCUCCCCCACCACCCUCACCCUCUCCACCCCCACCUUACUAUUACAAGUCUCCUCCACCACCUUCACCAUCUCCUCCACCACCAUACUAUUACAAAUCUCCUCCUCCUCCAUCUCCUAUUCCCCAUACACCUUACUAUUACAAAUCUCCCCCACCACCUUCACCAUCUCCUCCACCACCAUACUAUUACAAAUCUCCUCCUCCUCCAUCUCCUAUUCCCCGUACACCUUACUAUUACAAAUCUCCCCCACCACCUUCACCAUCUCCUCCACCACCAUACUACUACAAAUCC